UACGUAGGGUGCAAGCGUUAAUCGGAAUUACUGGGCGUAAAGCGUGCGCAGGCGGUUUUGUAAGUCAGAUGUGAAAUCCCCGGGCUUAACCUGGGAACUGCGUUUGAAACUACAAGGCUAGAGUGUGGCAGAGGGGGGUGGAAUUCCACGUGUAGCAGUGAAAUGCGUAGAGAUGUGGAGGAACACCGAUGGCGAAGGCAGCCCCCUGGGUUAACACUGACGCUCAGGUGCGAAAGCCAGGGGAGCGAACGGG
rnacentral:rRNA from 1 species